CGGCGAGCGAAAAGGGAGGAGCCCAGCGCCGAAUCCCCGACCUCCGGUCGCGGGAAAUGUGGCGUUUAGGAGUGAGCGUGCCGGGUUCGAGACUGGCGGCAAGUCCCCCUGACCGGGGCCUGUCCAUAGCGGGUGCGAGGCCCAUAGCCGCCCGUCCCGUCUCGGAUGCGAUCUCCUUGGAGUCGGGUUGCUUGGGAGUGCAGCCCUAAUCGGGUGGUAAACUCCACCUAAGGCUAAAUACCGCCGUGAGACCGAUAGCAAACAAGUACCGUGAGGGAAAGUUGCAAAGAACUUUGAAGAGAGAGUUCAAGAGUACGUGAAACUGCUCAGAGGUAAACGGGUGGGCCCUCGAAAUCCUGUGGCGAGAGGAUUCAGUCUGGCGCGGUACACUCGGCUCGGGAAGUCGGUAGGGCUUCCCGAGACUGGGUGCCGUCCCGAGUCGAGUCCUGUGCCGCACCAGACGCAUUUGUCUCUCGUCCGAAGGACGCUGCAGCCGGUCGGGCAGUGCAAGCGCGUCGGCCUUAAGGCGGGGAGCCGGCAGGUGGCCGGUGGCGUGCCUCGUGCGCGUCGCCGGUUGUUAGCCAUCUCCGCAGUGGCUCGACGCCCGACCGUGGUGUCGCAAGGCCAUCCUUGGCCUCUCCGUCUCCAUCCCAGCGGGACAGACGGUCGCAGGCGAAUUCCGCCGUCCCGUCGCACUCCCUCGGAGUGGUCGGGCGAACGGAAGGCGCCGUUGGCGGCCGCGGAUCCGCGGGAGACUGGAUGCUAGCAGCGAGUAGGUCGGUCACCCACCCGACCCGUCUUGAAACACGGACCAAGGAGUCUAACAUGUGCGCGAGUCAAUGGGUCUUGAACAGGCCCAGGGGCGCAAUGAAAGCGAAGGUCGGCCUCGAGUCGACUCAGUCGGGAUCCCCUUCUCUCGAGGGGGGGGCGCACCGACGACCCGUCCUAUUCGGUUCGCCGUUUGGGCGGAGUCUGAGCGUACACGUUGGGACCCGAAAGAUGGUGAACUAUGCCCGGACAGGACGAGGCCAGAGGAAACUCUGGUGGAGGUCCGCAG
rnacentral:rRNA from 1 species